CCCUUAGAUGUUCUGGGCCGCACGCGCGCUACACUGAUGCAUUCAACGAGUCUAAAACCUGCUCUGAUAGGGGUGGGUAAUCUUUUGAAUGUGCAUCGUGAUUGGGAUAGAUGAUUGCAAUUUUUCAUCUUCAACGAGGAAUGCCUAGUAAACGCAAGUCAUCAGCUUGCAUUGAUUACGUCCCUGCCCUUUGUACACACCGCCCGUCGCUCCUACCGAUUGAAUGAUCCGAUGAAUAUCAUGGAUUGAGGAUGCAAGCAGGUUCGCCUGUCUUCAUCUUCGAGAAGUGAAGUAAAUCUUAUCAUUUAGAGGAAGGAGAAGGCGGAACA
rnacentral:rRNA from 1 species